rnacentral:rRNA from 1 species
UACGUAGGUGGCAAGCGUUAUCCGGAAUUACUGGGCGUAAAGCGUGCGCAGGCGGUUAUUUAAGUCAGGUGUGAAAGCCCUGGGCUUAACCUAGGAAUUGCGCUUGAGACUGGAUAGCUUGGAGUGCGGCAGAGGGAGGUGGAAUUCCACGUGUAGCAGUGAAAUGCGUAGAGAUCCGGAAGAACACCGGUGGCGAAGGCGGCCUGCUGGGCAGUUGCUGACACUGAGGCGCGACAGCGUGGGGAGCAAACAGG